UUUGCGACUCACGUCUACAGUGAUGGUGUAAUCAUAUAUGUGUGUAUAAAAGCCACGCUCUGUCUCUUCCCGGCAGAGUCAUCUCGGCAGUGUAUCCCCCAGCAUCGGCAAAUAUAAGUAUCCUUUCUAUAAUAUAUAUUCAGUGUUUGUGUGUGUAAGGCUCGUUCCAGCCUUACUUUACUUGUUCGAAAUAACGGUACGAAUGUUCGUCAGAGGAUGACGCUUUGUAUUUUGAUACACAAGGUUGUAAGAAAGAUACUUGAAUACAAAUGUUCAGAAAUAAAAUAGUAAGAGAGAGUUUACCAGCGCGAGGGCUUGCUCGUGCAAGACUAGUUAUUCAAGGGAAAUAAGGGGGCUUUUAUACUGGUCAAGGCGGAAGUCGUCGUCGGAGAUUGAUCUCGUUGUUUCCUAUAUCGCAGUGUUGGGAUUGAUAGCUUGCUGGUGUCGACAUCCCGGUGUUGGGACUGGAUAUAUCCCGUGUGUUGACAGCAGGGUGUUGGGAAUGGAUACCUCCAGUCUGUCGACGUCAGGGUGUUGGCAAUGGAUACAUCCCGUGUGUCGACAUCACAGUAUCCGUUAGCGGAUCCUAUUCGCUCGACGGACUCGUUCGCGCAUACGCUUUUUGAAAUGCGCGCGUUGGUCUGUGGUUGCUAUAGAUGUGCCGCUUGCUGGUUGGUUACGGGUGCCCUCUCGUGGUUGGGUUCGGGUACUUCUCUCUGCCAGAGAGUUGUGAUGCAAUGUGAAAAAAUCGGUAACAAAGAUAACAAGAGAGAACGAAAAUUUUUUUUAUUAAUUCUGAAAAGAUAAAUAUUAUUAAUACUUUUAUUCAAGUUAAAGCGUUAAAACAAUAAAAACCUAAUUGGGGCUGUUGUCUACGUUAAUGAGAAUCAAUAUAUUAUUUAACAAAUUCAAGUUGUCUCGAAAUAAAGUCAUGUUCGUGCCUUGAAUUGCCAUUAAAAACAAAUGAAGAUAUCAUUAUUUGUAAGUUACUUUGGGAAACAUAAACAUAUCCGAUUCUACCAACACUUCUACAGGAAACAUUCCGAGUUUUUAAUAUCGAUUGAGCAUGGCUACAAAAGUCCAUCAUUUUAACAUUUAAUUUUCAGAUGAAAAGUUUCAAAACUUCUUACAAUUUAAUGUCUUUGCGGAUUGAAUUGGUUUGAACACAGUCGACUUGGGUCUAAAAAAUCAGACGGUUUACUAUUUUUAAGAAAUGUUAGUAUCAGAGAUAACAUGUCUGUUGAAGAGUGUUAAAAAAGAACACACAAAUGUCAAUACGUAUUGAAGAGAGUAAAAGGUUUCUCUGUUUUGAGUACUGGUUUUUUAUUCAAUGCAUUAUAUGUUUUAUUAUAUGCCUAUCUUGCAUUAUAGUCGUUACCAUAUAUAUCUUGGGAUGAUAAAGCAAGUUAUAUCGGUUUGGACGAUGAGAAAUCAUAAGGAUCGGGGAUUUACUGAAUAACUAUACGGACUAUCUUUUAAGGUAUUCUUUGUUGGGUUUAUAAUAUAUUUUGGUUUUUGCUACCUCCAUUUUAUUAAUAAAUCAAAAAUCGUUUACACUAGGCAAAAAAUGAAUUAUUCGUUAGGAUUUUGAAUGAUUUUAUGGCUUCCUUUAUGUAUUACUUUUAAUUGUCCAUAUCACUUACUUCAUAGUUGAGAUUGUGUUAAGAAGUGGGGUCCGUUUUGGGUGACAUCUGCAUUACUUAAAAAUUUAAAUGCAAUCAUUGUCGGCGUGUUUAACCCUUUAUCAACUCUCGGGAAAAUUUUUGACGGAUUUUAGUAGUAUCUGCUGGGAAUAAUCUCCCCUCCGACACGAGAGACCAGAAAUCAGCUAAAAUACUUGCGACGGAAGCUCUUAUCUUGGAAUUCUACCGACAGAAUUGAAGAGCCUUUUCACUAAAUAUCAAUUGUCCCUUACUUUGUCAAGGGUUUAAGUGGCAGUUGAAACGUAAAAGUCGUUCUUGUUUUUUACCCUUUUUGGAAACGAGUUAAAUAUUGCCCGACAGGCAGCUAUGAUUCCCUACUAGCACAGAUAUAUCCAUAGGAUAUACUAUGGAUGUCAGCUCCGAUUCAGUUGGAAUUGUUGGAUAUACCAGUUGGACGCCCUAAAGAUGUUUACAGGAUAUACUAACGUGAACAUCCACACUACGUCCGAAGGAACGUUCAUAGGAUGGAUGUAAUGAACGUUCGUGGGAUGUCUGAAACUAACUUCCAUAGGAUGUUUUAUAUUGGUCACCCCUUUAUACUAUAUUAGUUCAAACGGACGUCCAUGGGAUGUAUUUUUUGGGUCGACCCGUAACAUCAUUCGUAAAUAAAUUAGCAUAAUUACAUGAUAUCAGUUUUACAUUUUAAAUGUAUUAAUUGAGCACAAUACAAACGACGAUACACAAUACAAUACGUAAUCAUAAUUUGUGAAAAUAGCGUUUAGAAAUGGUACGCGUUGGGCGUUGGUCAAAUCUCUGACGGCCACACCAAAAUCUUGAUUCUGCCAUAACUCUUUAAGAUAUUGAAGCUGGGGUUCCUCAAAGAAACAAGAUGGACUGGAUGGUAUGACUAACAUGACACAUUUAGCAUAACAGCAACCCUAACGAGAACUAAACCUAAAUAUAAGGUAACGACGAUGAACAUAAUAGGACAAAAAUUAGGCAUAUAGUUUUUUCUCACCUCGAUCGGUUUCACGAUUACAAUUCUUUCGUGUUUCAAAAAAAUCAGAUUGUUUUUUUCAAAUGAUGCUCCGCUUAUUGAUGGCCAUUUUCCAAGGGGAAGUCACGUAACUAUUAGAGGUACGCAUAAUAUUAUUAGUAAUAUGUUUACAUUGUUUAAUAAACCUAUUGCUUUGAUUACUUGCUGCCUGAUACAAUCAUUCUGAAAUUUCAGUGAAGUGAAAGCAGUCUUGUGCCACAUACAAAGUUUCUUCUGAUGAUCUCUGUUUAUCCAGUUUAGUUUAGGUUCCCAUGUUUACAUAUGAUUACGAUAAUUCCGGAUUUACGAAAUUUUAGUUUCGAUUUCACAAAUUCACUUUCAAGACUUUGAUGUUGAUCAUAGUCAAAGGUCAGUGAGAGCUGAACCUCCCUCACGGCCUGUUCUCUUAGUGUGAUGAUACCAUCUGGCAACACGGCACCCGUCGGCUCCAUAUAUAGGAGAGGACCCCCUCCCUGUCCUCUCAGUCUCUGUCUGCUCUUCAAAGAGCAUUGGUCGUCCAAUAUACUGAUCCGAGCCGCAAUCUCUCUCUCUCUUGUUCUGACUUCAUCAGUCCUUGCUUCUGAUGCUUCAUUGUGGCCACUCCCUUCCAAUUCACAAAAGCCAUUACCUUGAUAGAAGAGACUCGAUACCAUGCGCGCUUAACUGCGCUAGUAAUCGAUCCACCUCGUAAGUUGCGAAUAAUCGUCACUAAGGUUGACAAAUUAUUACCGCAACUUGGUUUGAAAGGGAAAUUUUAAAAAUUAGUUGGUUUAAAUAACUUGACUAUCUUACCAGUUGAUAGUACUUUUCAUUAUCCAAGAAAGUUUGCUCAACUGAUUUGACAUCCUCCAUUUCCUUAAGCGGCUCCAACAUAAAAUCUGGAUCAAUUUCUCGUUGUUCAGCGGCUUGAGAUUAAAUUGACUUUGCCAUCAUAUUUAUUUUACCCUUAAUUACUACCAUUUCGGCCAUUAAGUUUGAGAUGUUUUCUAGCAGGUUAAGCACCUAUUUUACAAGUUUUUCUAAAACUGCUUUUGAAACUUAACAUACAAUUAAUAGAUGGAUAAAACACAAUAACCAUUAUAAUCAGCAUUACCAUCUGACAAUUGUUUAAUUGUCAGCUAAACCAGGAGUUAUCAAUGGAAUGGGUUGAAUUUGUUCCAAGACACCACUCUUACAAUGGGAUGAUUGUCGAUGAUUGAAUUCAGGUUGAAAAUGUUGACCCUGUAAACGUGAGAUAUCAACAUUGAUGGCCCAACAAAAUUUUCAUAAACAAAAAAUAAUUGCUUUAGCAGACGCACGCGGUUUGCGUGAAUUGGGAACGAUACUUGAGUUGGGAGCAGAGCAGUAGUCGAUUCAUAGGGAAACGGCUGAUGAUUCCAAUUAGCCAAAUUAGUUGCUGGUUGGAAAAACCGCAUUGGAAACCAGCACAGACGGGAUAACAGGAGUAGUGACGAAUGUCUGUUGAGCUAGGUUUUGAGUGGGCCCAUACAUUCCAACACUCUCACCUUCACUCUCAUCAUUUGAAUAACGCUCAUCCUGGACCGUUUCUGAUUUUAAAUACCUGCCAGGGGCCCACUUCCUCAAAUAACCUCUUCCCAUUGCUGUAUGCUGAUCAGACUCAGAAUUUAUAUCUGACUGCUCAGAAAUCUGAUUUUCCUUUGAUCGAGAUUAUCAUAAGAAUCUGACCAACAAACACAAUCAGUUUUUAAAACAAACUUGAAAUAAGUUGCAAUAUUAAAUAACUUACUGAAAAAUUUGCGAGUUUUGCAUUCAUCAAUCCCCCAAUUCGAUUUUUUGGGUUCCCUCUACAUUGUCGCAGCCCUUGAUCUUGGAUGGUAACACUUAGGGUUGCCCUCAAGGAGCCAGGAAUCAGGCACAGUUGCAACGAAAGGCCCUGUAGUAAUAACCAAAUCUACCAGUCAGUAUUUUCCGUCUUUAACCUAAAUGACGAAACAUGUUAGAUAGCCACAAAAGAAGUAGAAAAUUGCAUAUUUUAUAGUUACAAUCUAAGAAGCCAUGGUAUAUUGAAUAAUUUUUCUGAAAAAAAACAACAGUAGGUCAACUGUGUCAAAUAGGAACAAAAAUGGAAUAAGUUAAUUUUUCAAUAAAAUUUACCUGUUUCUUCGAACAUUCAAACACGGGACAGUACCAUAACCUUUCAGUUAAGAUCCUAUAAAGCAUGACCAGUCACAACAGAUUUUUUGGGACCGUUCUUUCCCUUUCAAAAAAAUUACAAAUAGUUCAUUUCAUUUAAAUAUCACAGUUCAUGAGCAUAUCUUGAAUCUUGAUUGAAAAUGUUGUGUGGACGUUCUCUUUAAUCAAUAUUAUUGACGAUUUUGAAAAGUUAAGCAUGGCAUUUGAGAUUUAGAUAACCAUGUGCUUGCAAAUUUCCAAGCACAAGACAACACAAAAACAAAGUAAACCACACAUGAAAUUAUGUAUAAAACUAUAAACGAUACGAUACAUAAAUUUUCUCUACCAUUUGAUGUUUACGUUGACUUGAAAAUUUUCUUAUCAUCACAUGAAACUUCAUUCCUUGAUAGGAUUUUUAUUUUAAAUUAAAGCUUUGAAUUGAUUGAUUGUCUUUGUGUUAUAUAGAUACCCACUAUUCUUACGUUUGAUGUGCAUAAUUAGUGUUGUCGCUGCUUCACUUAACACAAUGAGACAAGCAUUUUAUUGGAUUCCUUUUUUCAUAGAUGUGUUUAUGUUGUGUUGCAAAUAUUAAAUACUAUUUCAUUUUUGUCAUUCCCAGAUUGCCGUCCAGCGUCGUCCGUCGAGAAUUCGCGCCCACCUGGCAAUCCGAGCUAUACCAUGAAUUGCUGAUUAGCCAUGGUGUCUUAUCUGUUUGCAGCAAUGUUCAACGUUGAACUCUGGCUGUUUAUUCUGUAUCUAGUUUUCUUUAUCCUGAAUUGAUUUUACGAAUCUACGCCUUUAAAGCAAAUUAAUUUUUCAGAAGAAGGUCGAGAUGACGGGAUGAACGAACUAACUCGUACGGUAAACUUGUUUCGAAUUCAAUAUCAAUGGACCUUUACGGAACACAAAUUCAAGCAGUAAGUGAUUUACAAAAUAAAAAUCAGUUUUUAGCGGAAAAGAUUGAACAGCUGGCGAAAAACAUUAAAGAACUAAAUGAAGCAAAACCCAAACCGAUCAACUCACCUAUGAACGCAGUAAAUACAGCACAGAUUUUUUAUGUUAUGCGUUCGUUACUACCGAUUUUAAGUGGCGCAAAAAAACAGAAAACAAACGACAAAAUUCCAACACGUAUGAAGAACAUAACGAAAAAUAAACCGUGCGUCUUAAGCCCAAAAUGUCACAUGCCAAAUAAUGUUUUGUUGUUGCUCUUGUCAUUAAAAAAGUUUUUCAGGCAUUAACUAACGCUUUCAUUUGUUUUCUCCUCAAAUCAAACAUACCAUAUUUCCGAUACAAACGAAAUCGCAAAAUUUUGACCCUGAAUUUUUUCUAAAAUUUGUUCAAAAUACAAAUAAAAAAGCUUAAUUUUAAUUCUACACUUAAUUCUUUAUCUGUUCAACUUCAGUUUUUAAUCAAAUUUUUGUUCUUUUUCUUUCUAUAAAUCUUUUUUUGUUCUUUAUUCUUCAAAGUUUGAUUUUUUUCUAUUCAUUUCUAUUCCUUUUUUGGCAAAUAAAUAAAUAUUUAAA
rnacentral:lncRNA from 1 species